rnacentral:rRNA from 1 species
CCGCGGGAUUAGAGUUUGAUCCUGGCUCAGGAUGAACGCUAGCGGCAGGCUUAAUACAUGCAAGUCGAGGGGCAGCACGUUUGACAGCAAUGUUAGAUGGUGGCGACCGGCAAACGGGUGCGGAACACGUACGCAACCUUCCCGAAACAGGUGAAUAGCCCUCCGAAAGGAGGAUUAAUACACCGUAAGAUAUAGGUGUGGCAUCACAAUUAUAUUAUAGGCCGCAAGGUCGGUUUUGGAUGGGCGUGCGCCUGAUUAGGUAGUUGGUGCGGGUAACGGCCCACCAAGCCUUCGAUCAGUAACUGGUGUGAGAGCACGACCAGUCACACGGGCACUGAGACACGGGCCCGACUCCUACGGGAGGCAGCAGUAAGGAAUAUCGGUCAAUGGACGCAAGUCUGAACCAGCCAUGCCGCGUGAAGGAUGAAGGCCCUCUGGGUUGUAAACUUCUUUUAUCUGGGACGAAAAAAGGGUUUUUGAACUCACUUGACGGUACCAGAGGAAUAAGCACCGGCUAACUCCGUGCCAGCAGCCGCGGUAAUACGGAGGGUGCAAGCGUUAUCCGGAUUUACUGGGUUUAAAGGGUGCGUAGGUGGGUAAGUAAGUCAGUGGUGAAAUCUCCGGGCUUAACCCGGAAACUGCCAUUGAUACUAUUUAUCUUGAAUACUUUGGAGGUAAGCGGAAUAUGUCAUGUAGCGGUGAAAUGCUUAGAUAUGACAUAGAACACCAAUUGCGAAGGCAGCUUACUACACAGUGAUUGACACUGAGGCACGAAAGCGUGGGGAUCAAACAGGAUUAGAUACCCUGGUAGUCCACGCCCUAAACGAUGGAUACUCGACAUUAGCGAUACACAGAUAGUGUCUG